AAAGUCUGGGACAGAUGUAUUGGAGCUCCAUUGUAUGUUACUUUUUUUCUUUUCUCUGGAUGAUUUUAGGAUCCUUUCUUUAUCCUUGACUUUUGGAAGUUUGAUUAUUAAAUACCUUGAGAGAUGGGGUUUCACCGUGUUAGCCAGGAUGGUCUCGAUCGCCUGACCUCGUGAUGUGCCUGCCUCGGCCUCCCAAAAUGCUGGGAUUACAGGUGUGAGCCAGUGCACCUGGCCGAGGAAAAAAGGAAGGACAGGAACUAGCCUCAAUCCAGCCCAAUUAGCCUUCCCCCAAGUGCAACGAGGCCAAUGACAACCAAUGAUGAAGGCAGUGUUUACAAGGACCAAUCUCUUGACGGAUCAUUUAAAAACUCUUUAAAGAUUCAGGGAAACCACCCAGCCAGAAUGUUGAUAUCAAGACAUGAUGGAUCUACUGUGUCUCCAAGCUUUGGAAUCCCAAAGCCCAAAGAGGAAGUGAGGAGCCCCAGGUCCCACCAUUAGAUCCUCCUGGACCACAGUCACUCGAGGAAGCCUACCCCACACUUACAAAGACAAGACCUCGCCACACAGCAUCUGUCCUCUUCAAGAUCUGCCCCCACCAAGAUGUGUCUCCAGACCAAAACCACAGUCAGAUUGAAGCACAGGCCAGUGCAGAGGAAAUACUGAACACAGAGGAAAAAAUGGCAAGGCCCUAAAUAGUAGGUUCAGCAGGCCCCAGGGGGCCGAGUGUGGAAGUGGAUCUUGAGGGCUUGGAACUGGUGUUGGGGAGAAUAGAAGGGUGGGAAGGUGAGAAUUUACUCACAUGGAAGCCCUCCCAGCAAAGACACCUGGGCCCAUCCUCACUGGCGCCCGGUUGCUUUCAUAGCCGCGGACACAACUUGGGCCCACAGUUAACGAGGAGGAAGGCAGAGCGUGCUGAGCAGAGCACCAAGGAAGAGAGCUCGGCUAGCCGGGAAGGUCCGAAUGGAUUUAUUUGGUGAGGCCAAGGAACCCACUGCCUCCACGGUGUUCCUCCAGGAGGCUCCUCCCUUCACUAAGGCAGCAAGGAGUGCACUGGUGAGGGGAAGAAGGAAGACACGGAAACACUCACAAUCUCUACCCUCUACUAAACAGCCAAGGUUGCAGGGUAGAGCUGCCUGGAGCCCAAAGCACAGUAGUCUCCCUACUGGUCCCCAAGAGUGUGACUUUCGAUGUGGAACCCACAGUGAUACUGGCCAGUGGCUCUUG
rnacentral:lncRNA from 1 species